ACCGAACUGGGAUAUCGACAAACCGUGCAGUGUCAGGUGAUCAGUGCUUAUACGAGUGGAAAAAUCCCCAAAAUAACUUAAAGGUGUAGUGCGCAGUGUAUGUGAUCGGUUCGCCGUGUGAUCGUGUUAUUGUGUGUGCAGUGUUUGUUAUGGAGGAGCGUUUUGGAUACGUUUUUGGUGAG